GCUCAGGUAGUGUAGUGGUUAGCACGCAGGAUUUUGAUUCAAACCUUUGUUUCGCCAAAAUUCCUGAAUCCCCGGUUCGAACCCGGGCCAGAGCU